rnacentral:rRNA from 1 species
UUAAUCGGGAGGCAACUGGAAGGGAUCCUCCCCGAUGGACGAAAGUCUGAACGAACCACCCCCCCGGGAUGGAGAAGGGUUUCCGAACCGAAAACCCCGGUUGCCGGGAAGAACGCCUGGGAAAAUUACUGGCCCCCAAGGGGCCGGACCCGGGAAAAAAGCCCCCGAUAAAUUCCUGGCCACCGCCCGGGUAAUACCUAAGGGGCCAACCUUGGCCCGAAUUAUUGGGCGUAAAACGGGCCCCAGCCGUUGAUUAAGUCUGGGGUUUAAGGCUGGGGCUCCACCCCGCGUCCCACCGGAAACCGGAUUACUUGAGGGCCGAAAAAGAAAGGGGAAUCCCCCGUGGAACCGCGAAAUGUCGAAAGAAGUGGAAGAACCACCGUGGGGAAAGCCACUUUCCGGGCUGGUACCUGACCUGAAGCUCCAAAUCCUGGGGAACCAACCAGAAUAGAAACCCUGGUAAUCCCCCCCGGAAACCAAGCAUGCCACGAGGUAAGGGUUUUCAAACCCUUUGUG